GGAGCUGUGCCUGAAUAUAGGAUUACUUUGAUAGAGUAAAACAUGAGGGUUAAAAUCCUUCCAACUCCU
rnacentral:tRNA from 1 species